rnacentral:rRNA from 1 species
AUUGAACGCUGGCGGCAGGCCUAACACAUGCAAGUCGAGCGGAUGAGUGGAGCUUGCUCCAUGAUUCAGCGGCGGACGGGUGAGUAAUGCCUAGGAAUCUGCCUGGUAGUGGGGGACAACGUUUCGAAAGGAACGCUAAUACCGCAUACGUCCUACGGGAGAAAGUGGGGGAUCUUCGGACCUCACGCUAUCAGAUGAGCCUAGGUCGGAUUAGCUAGUUGGUGAGGUAAAGGCUCACCAAGGCGACGAUCCGUAACUGGUCUGAGAAGAUGAUCAGUCACACUGGAACUGAGACACGGUCCAGACUCCUACGGGAGGCAGCAGUGGGGAAUAUUGGACAAUGGGCGAAAGCCUGAUCCAGCCAUGCCGCGUGUGUGAAGAAGGUCUUCGGAUUGUAAAGCACUUUAAGUUGGGAGGAAGGGCAGUAGUUAAUACCUUGCUGUUUUGACGUUACCAACAGAAUAAGCACCGGCUAACUUCGUGCCAGCCGCCGCGGUAAUAC